AAGAGCUUGUAGGCGGUUUGUCGCGUCUGCUGUGAAAGACCGGGGCUUAACUCCGGUUCUGCAGUGGGUACGGGCAGGCUAGAGUGUGGUAGGGGAGACUGGAAUUCCUGGUGCAGCGGUGAAAUGCGCAGAUAUCAGGAGGAACACCGAUGGCGAAGGCAGGUCUCUGGGCCAUAACUGACGCUGAGAAGCGAAAGCAUGGGGAGCAAACAGGAUUAGAUACCCUGGUAGUCCAUGCCGUAAACGUUGGGCGCUAGGUGUGGGGCUCAUUCCACGAGUUCCGUGCCGCAGCUAACGCAUUAAGCGCCCCGCCUGGGGAGUACGGCCGCAAGGCUAAAACUCAAAGGAAUUGACGGGGGCCCGCACAAGCGGCGGAGCAUGCGGAUUAAUUCGAUGCAACGCGAAGAACCUUACCAAGGCUUGACAUGCACCGGACGACUGCAGAGAUGUGGUUUCCCUUUGUGGCUGGUGUGCAGGUGGUGCAUGGUUGUCGUCAGCUCGUGUCGUGAGAUGUUGGGUUAAGUCCCGCAACGAGCGCAACCCUCGUUCCAUGUUGCCAGCGGGUUAUGCCGGGGACUCAUGGGAGACUGCCGGGGUCAACUCGGAGGAAGGUGGGGAUGACGUCAAAUCAUCAUGCCCCUUAUGUCUUGGGCUUCACGCAUGCUACAAUGGCUGGUACAGAGGGCUGCAAUACCGUGAGGUGGAGCGAAUCCCUUAAAACUGGUCUCAGUUCGGAUUGGGGUCUGCAACUCGACCCCAUGAAGUCGGAGUCGCUAGUAAUCGCAGAUCAGCAACGCUGC
rnacentral:rRNA from 1 species